AGUGCAUGUGGUGGAUGCCUUGGCAGUCAGAGGCGAUGAAAGACGUGAUAGCCUGCGAAAAGCUCCGGGGAGGCGGCAAAUAUCCUUUGAUCCGGAGAUGUCUGAAUGGGGGAACCCACCUACUUUAAGGUAGGUAUUGCAACAUGAAUACAUAGUGUUGCAAGGCGAACGAGGGGAAGUGAAACAUCUCAGUACCCUUAGGAAAAGAAAUCAAUUGAGAUUCCCUCAGUAGCGGCGAGCGAACGGGGAUCAGCCCAUUAAGUUAUGUGUGUUUUAGUGGAACGCUCUGGGAAGUGCGAACGUAGAGGGUGAUAUUCCCGUACACGAAAGGGCACACAUAAUGAUGACGAGUAGGGCGAGGCACGUGAAACCUUGUCUGAAUAUGGGGGGACCAUCCUCCAAGGCUAAAUACUCCUGACUGACCGAUAGUGAACCAGUACCGUGAGGGAAAGGCGAAAAGAACCCCUGUGAGGGGAGUGAAAUAGAUCCUGAAACCGCAUGCAUACAAGCAGUGGGAGCACCUUCGUGGUGUGACUGCGUACCUUUUGUAUAAUGGGUCAGCGACUUAUAUUCAGUAGCGAGGUUAACCGUAUAGGGGAGCCGUAGAGAAAUCGAGUCUUAAUAGGGCGUUUAGUUGCUGGGUAUAGACCCGAAACCAGGCGAUCUAUCCAUGAGCAGGUUGAAGGUUGGGUAACACUAACUGGAGGACCGAACCCACUGUCGUUGAAAAGCCAGGGGAUGACUUGUGGAUAGGGGUGAAAGGCUAAUCAAGCCUGGUGAUAGCUGGUUCUCCCCGAAAGCUAUUUAGGUAGCGCCUCGGACGAAUACCAUAGGGGGUAGAGCACUGUUUCGGCUAGGGGGUCAUCCCGACUUACCAAACCGAUGCAAACUCCGAAUACCUAUGAGUACUAUCCGGGAGACAGACUGCGGGUGCUAACGUCCGUAGUCAAGAGGAAAACAAUCCAGACCGCCAGCUAAGGCCCCAAAAUCAUAGUUAAGUGGGAAACGAUGUGGGAAGGCAUAGACAGCUAGGAGGUUGGCUUAGAAGCAGCCACCCUUUAAAGAAAGCGUAAUAGCUCACUAGUCGAGUCGGCCUGCGCGGAAGAUGUAACGGGGCUAAAACUAUGUGCCGAAGCUGCGGAUGUAUACUUUGUAUACGUGGUAGGGGAGCGUUCUGUAAGCCGAUGAAGGUGUGUUGAGAAGCAUGCUGGAGGUAUCAGAAGUGCGAAUGCUGACGUGAGUAACGACAGAACGGGUGAAAAACCCGUUCGUCGAAAGACCAAGGGUUCCAGUCCAACGUUAAUCGGGGCUGGGUGAGUCGACCCCUAAGGCGAGGCCGAAAGGCGUAGUCGAUGGGAAAAUGGUUAAUAUUCCAUUACUUCUGUGUAAUGCGAUGAGAGGACGGAGAAGGCUAAAUCAGCCUGGCGUUGGUUGUCCAGGUGAAAGGAUGUAGGCAUGUAUCUUAGGCAAAUCCGGGGUACUCUAUGCUGAGAUCUGAUAGCAAGCUGUACUUGUACAGCGAAGUGGUUGAUGCCAUGCUUCCAGGAAAAGUCUCUAAGCUUCAGUUACACAGGAAUCGUACCCGAAACCGACACAGGUGGUCAGGUCGAGUAGACCAAGGCGCUUGAGAGAACUCUGCUGAAGGAACUAGGCAAAAUGGUACCGUAACUUCGGGAGAAGGUACGCUGUUGUUGGUGAUGGAACUCGCUUCCUGAGCUGACGACAGCCGCAGAAACCAGGCCGCUGCAACUGUUUAUUAAAAACAUAGCACUCUGCAAACACGAAAGUGGACGUAUAGGGUGUGAUGCCUGCCCGGUGCUGGAAGGUUAAUUGAUGGGGUUAGCGUAAGCGAAGCUCUUGAUCGAAGCCCCAGUAAACGGCGGCCGUAACUAUAACGGUCCUAAGGUAGCGAAAUUCCUUGUCGGGUAAGUUCCGACCUGCACGAAUGGCAUAAUGAUGGCGGCGCUGUCUCCAGCAGAGGCUCAGUGAAAUCGAAAUCGCUGUGAAGAUGCAGUGUACCCGCGGCUAGACGGAAAGACCCCGUGAACCUUUACUGCAGCUUGACACUGAACUUUGACCUUACUUGUGUAGGAUAGGUGGGAGGCUUUGAAGCUGGAACGCUAGUUCCAGUGGAGCCGUCCUUGAAAUACCACCCUGGUAAUGUUGAGGUUCUAACUCUGUCCCGUGAUCCGGGACGAGGACCGUGUCUGGUGGGUAGUUUGACUGGGGCGGUCUCCUCCUAAAGAGUAACGGAGGAGUACGAAGGUGCGCUCAGCGUGGUCGGAAAUCACGCGUAGAGUAUAAAGGCAAAAGCGCGCUUAACUGCGAGACCCACAAGUCGAGCAGGUACGAAAGUAGGUCUUAGUGAUCCGGUGGUUCUGUAUGGAAGGGCCAUCGCUCAACGGAUAAAAGGUACUCUGGGGAUAACAGGCUGAUACCGCCCAAGAGUUCAUAUCGACGGCGGUGUUUGGCACCUCGAUGUCGGCUCAUCUCAUCCUGGGGCUGAAGCAGGUCCCAAGGGUAUGGCUGUUCGCCAUUUAAAGAGGUACGCGAGCUGGGUUUAGAACGUCGUGAGACAGUUCGGUCCCUAUCUACCGUGGGCGCUGGAAAUUUGAGAGGAUCUGCUCCUAGUACGAGAGGACCAGAGUGGACGAACCUCUGGUGUACCGGUUGUGACGCCAGUCGCAUCGCCGGGUAGCUAUGUUCGGAAGGGAUAACCGCUGAAAGCAUCUAAGCGGGAAGCCUACCUCAAGAUAAGAUUUCCCUAGGACUUUAUGUCCUCUAAAGAGCCGUUCGAGACUAGGACGUUGAUAGGUUGGAUGUGGAAGCAUAGUGAUAUGUGAAGCUGACCAAUACUAAUUGCUCGUGAGGCUUGACU
rnacentral:rRNA from 1 species